rnacentral:rRNA from 1 species
GACGAACGCUGGCGGCGUGCCUAAUACAUGCAAGUCGUGCGGACCUUGUUGAAAGCUUGCUUUUAAAAGAUUAGCGGCGGACGGGUGAGUAACACGUGGGCAACCUGCCUGUAAGACUGGGAUAACGCCGGGAAACCGGGGCUAAUACCAGAUCGUUUUUUCCUCCGCAUGGAGGAAAAAGGAAAGGCGGCUUCGGCUGCCACUUACAGAUGGGCCCGCGGCGCAUUAGCUAGUUGGCGGGGUAAUGGCCCACCAAGGCAACGAUGCGUAGCCGACCUGAGAGGGUGAUCGGCCACAUUGGGACUGAGACACGGCCCAAACUCCUACGGGAGGCAGCAGUAGGGAAUCUUCCGCAAUGGACGAAAGUCUGACGGAGCAACGCCGCGUGAGUGAAGAAGGCCCUCGGGUCGUAAAACUCUGUUGCCGGGGAAGAACAAGUGCCGUUCGAACAGGGCGGCGCCUUGACGGUACCCGGCCAGAAAGCCACGGCUAACUACGUG